UACAGAGGGUGCGAGCGUUAUUCGGAAUUACUGGGCGUAAAGCGUGCGUAGACGGCUAUCUAAGUCGGGUGUGAAAGCCCCGGGCUCAACCUGGGAAUUGCACUCGAGACUGAAUAGCUAGGGUGCGGUAGAGGGAAGCGGAAUUUCCGGUGUAGCGGUGAAAUGCGUAGAUAUCGGAAGGAACAUCAGUGGCGAAAGCGGCUUCCUGGACCAGCACCGACGUUCAGGCACGAAAGCGUGGGGAGCAAACAGG
rnacentral:rRNA from 1 species